rnacentral:rRNA from 1 species
CCUAGGGCUACACACGUACUACAAUGGCCGGUACAAAGGGCAGCGACACAGCGAUGUGAAGCGAAUCCCGAAAAGCCGGUCUCAAGUCCGGAUUGGAGUCUGCAACUCGACUCCAUGAAGUUGGAAUCGCUAGUAAUCGCGGAUCAGCACGCCGCGGUCGAAUACGUUCCCGGGCCUU